CAAUAGCGUAUAUUAAAGUUGUUGCAGUUAAAAAGCUCGUAGUUGGAUUUCUGGUCGGAAGCUCCUGUCCUCUGAUGAGCGUACAAGUGCGUCCUACCAUCCUUCUGUUAACCUUUAAGGCUUUCGCGGCUUUCUAGGGGCUCAGAUAUUUUACCUUGAGAAAAUUAGAGUGUUUCAGGCAGGCUAGCGCCGGAAUACAUUAGCAUGGAAUAAUGGAAUAGGACUUUUGCCUCUUCUGUUGGUCAUGAGGCUCGAGUAAUGAUUAAUAGGGAUAGUUGGGGGCAUUAGUACUUAACUGUCGGAGGUGAAAUUCUCGGAUUUGUUAAAGACUAACUUAUGCGAAAGCAUUUGCCAAGGAUGUUUUCAUUAA
rnacentral:rRNA from 1 species